rnacentral:rRNA from 1 species
GGGACACGUGGUAUCCUGUCUGAAUAUGGGGGGACCAUCCUCCAAGGCUAAAUACUCCUGACUGACCGAUAGUGAACCAGUACCGUGAGGGAAAGGCGAAAAGAACCCCGGCGAGGGGAGUGAAAAAGAACCUGAAACCGUGUACGUACAAGCAGUGGGAGCACGCUUAGGCGUGUGACUGCGUACCUUUUGUAUAAUGGGUCAGCGACUUAUAUUCUGUAGCAAGGUUAACCGAAUAGGGGAGCCGAAGGGAAACCGAGUCUUAACUGGGCGUUAAGUUGCAGGGUAUAGACCCGAAACCCGGUGAUCUAGCCAUGGGCAGGUUGAAGGUUGGGUAACACUAACUGGAGGACCGAACCGACUAAUGUUGAAAAAUUAGCGGAUGACUUGUGGCUGGGGGUGAAAGGCCAAUCAAACCGGGAGAUAGCUGGUUCUCCCCGAAAGCUAUUUAGGUAGCGCCUCGUGAAUUCAUCUCCGGGGGUAGAGCACUGUUUCGGCAAGGGGGUCAUCCCGACUUACCAACCCGAUGCAAACUGCGAAUACCGGAGAAUGUUAUCACGGGAGACACACGGCGGGUGCUAACGUCCGUCGUGAAGAGGGAAACAACCCAGACCGCCAGCUAAGGUCCCAAAGUCAUGGUUAAGUGGGAAACGAUGUGGGAAGGCCCAGACAGCCAGGAUGUUGGCUUAGAAGCAGCCAUCAUUUAAAGAAAGCGUAA